rnacentral:lncRNA from 1 species
GGAAGUAUAGGCUCAAGGAGGCUAACAAAGAGAUCAUAACAGGGUAGGCUAUCUGGCUAGAGAGGCUCAAUCAACAAAAUGCCUUUAUCAUUUUCAAACAUGCAUAUCAAUCAAGAAUCAUCAAAAAGAGUAAAGCCAAGGCAUAUGCGCAAGCAAUCAAGAGACAUAUCACACACAAGAAAGAAUAUCAAGUGGCUCAAAUCUCACACAUGGUAAUUUCU